rnacentral:rRNA from 1 species
ACAAACCGGAGGAAGGUGGGAUGACGUCAAGUCCUCAUGGCCCUUAUGGGUAGGGCUUCACACGUCAUACAAUGGUCGGUACAGAGGGUUGCCAAGCCGCGAGGUGGAGCCAAUCCCUUAAAGCCGAUCGUAGUCCGGAUCGUAGUCUGCAACUCGACUACGUGAAGUCGGAAUCGCUAGUAAUCGCAGAUCAGCAUGCUGCGGUGAAUACGUUCCCGGGUCCUU